AAGUGAGGAGACAUCUGGAAGGGCCCUGAGAGGUAGCAGGAAUGUCUUGUGCACAGACUUCUGGUGGUUAUAUAAUACCAGCGGUGGGUUUUUCAAUCAAGAUAUGUGCUUGGACAAACAGGAGAAUACUUAAGAGAAGAACCAGGCAGAAUAAUAAAUACGGAAUUGUCUCAGACAGUCCUGGCCAUCUGGUCAACAAAAUUAAACCGCUUCAGAAAGUCCCUUAAAACUCCUCCUGGAAACUGUGGCCUUGGCUGUGUGCAGAAACAAUAUCCACCCCCACGCUGAGAAUGAGGCUGAGUACCUCCAUUCACGGAUUUCAAUCUGAUCUCCACAAUGCCUCCCAAGGGGACAAGUCAUUGUCCUGCUGAUUAUACCUGACAAGAAGCCCACUAUGGCCAAAGUAUGAUGUGGCUGACAAGGACACUGAACUGCCGCAGGCUGCAUUACCAGAAGUAUGGUGUCCAGAAAGAGGAAGGAGAACACCACUCUACAAUCCUCAGUCGACACCUGGAACGUGUAACCUGUGUCUCGCUGAGGAUCCACCUCUCCAUUCCCUGGAGGAAAGAGUAAGAAUGAAGGAAAGGAAAUGUGAAAACUGUUAACAACGGGAAACACAAGCUGGAAUAUAACUAAGAUGCAAGAAAGGAAGAAGAAAAGGAACUCACAACUAAGCUGAAAACUUUCAAAAUGAAACGAAUCCCUCCCUUUGCGAGUAAGGAUAUGAGCCACAGAAGUGAUGUGAACAUUUUCUGUUAAAGAUGAGCUCAUCUUGCCUGAGAACCUGAAGCUCACGGAUCUGCCCAAGACCAUCCAGCCCCAAAUGGCAAAGUGAAGCUUGCACCAGCCCCCAUGGGUGUUUCCACGGCUUCCCGCUCUCCAUCAUGUGAGGCAGUUAAAACAAUUUUCCCAAAGUUUUGAUGUAGCCUCUGCCUCUUC